GGUUGCUAAGCUAGGAUAUUGUAUAAUGUGCUUCUGUGAUUAGGAAUUCUUAGAUGUGGAUUGCAAUAUUGUAAAGGUGAUGAUUCUAAAUUUUUAAUCAUGGUCUAUAAGUGUUUUAAAGUGUUUUAAGAUACAAUUAUUAUGUUUUGGAGUCUAUUUAGAGUAUUUACAGGUUCAAGGACGUUUAGGAGAAAUAUGGUGAUUUUGGAGUCUUUUGGAGCCUUUGGAGGUGCAGAGUUGCAUAGACGCGUCAGAUGUUUAGCUAUGGAUGGAGACCUUCCGACCGUUAGAUUGAGCCCAUAUUUAGACACAAGAUAGAGCUUUGAGUUAGCUUUCCAAUGCCACCGGUCUCAGGUCAAUCAGCAUCCUGUAGCAGACGUUAUGCCCGUUUUACUGAAUAGUGGUUAGUCUGCCUCGCGAGAGGAAGCUGCCGAGAAGAGGAAGCCGCGUCGAUCGAUGCAGCACUCUGCACGUCGAUCGAUGGAGAUCC
rnacentral:lncRNA from 1 species